ensembl:lncRNA
UCAGGCUUUUUGGGCUGUAAGUGUCAGAACAUCCAACUUGAAGUUGCUGAAGCCAGACAGAAAUGUAUUAUUAACGCAGAACUGAAUGUCCAGGAUGGAAGUAAGAUGGCUCAGAAUAUCCCAGCCUUACAACUACAGACCACAGUAUCUGGAGGGAAAAUGAGAUCUUUUCUCAAUGCAGAUCUCAGGAAUAAGGCUGUGCCAGGCAGCGUGCAGGAUCUUAAUUCCCUGACCAGGGAUUGAACCUGUGCCCCUGGAGUGGAAGUUUGGAGGCCUAACCACUGGACCACCAGGGAUGUCCCUCGACUGCCUUUUAAUUCAGUUAAUUCAGUCACUUUGCAGUUCAUUUUUUGCUUCGUAUUUAAGUGUUUUGGUGGUCAGACCACAUUUCUGCUAAGAGUUCAUGGCUUGUUUUCAGGAGAAAAUGGCUAAAAGUUCAAUAUAAUUGUAUGCAUUUGAGGUCUAUGAAUAACUGUGAUAAAAUGUUCAGAAAGUAAAAAUGCUGCCUUCCACUCAAAAUUAAAUGGAGUUGACACAGCUGGUUUGUUUGAUUUGGGGGUGGGCAAAUGGGGUUGUGCUAGAUUGUAUAUUUCAGUUAUCAGAUUUCUCUAGAAAAACGACUGGAUUUCUAAAUGAGUUUCCUGAGAAAAUGACUAAGUGUGUGAAUAACACUAAAAUAAGUUUCCUGUACAUUGCGAAAUGGAUAUUGAAGGGGAGAAAGGGCUCAGUGUGUCAUAGUUGUUUGGAAAUUGUUUUAGCAUGGAAAUGGGUACCAU